GCCCGAGUGGCGCAACGGCAGCGCAGCCGAUUUGUAAUCGGCAGGUUGUGGGUUCGACUCCCUCCUCGGGCUCCA
rnacentral:tRNA from 2 species